UGCACACAGGCAAGAGUCUAUGGAAGCUAAUGUGAAGGAUGAGAAUCUCAUCACGUGCACCUUAAACGCCAACCAAGCACUUGCGAGGCGAGAGGCAAAUCUGAGCGCUCUUGAGGGCUCCUGAGAGCCCUGCAUUCAGUCAACAAAUACUCUUCAGUGCCAACUACGAACCAGACAGUGCACAAAGUGAACAAGAUAAAAUCCCUGAGCUCAUGAAGCUAACAGUAUAGUGGGAAAGACAAAACUCUUCAAGAU
rnacentral:lncRNA from 1 species